GCCCGGGUGGCGGAAUUGGCAGACGCGCCAGCUUGAGGGGCUGGUGGGCUUCGGCCCAUGCAGGUUCAAGUCCUGUCCCGGGCA
rnacentral:tRNA from 1 species